UCAAACGCAACGCUAGCCCCAAUCCCCUAAAUUCAAGGACAUGAAAAGCAGGAGUAAACAACUUGGUAUUUUAUUAAAAAAAUUAUUCUCCAAAUUUUUUUAUUAUUGAAAAACAAGGAAAUGGCUUUUAUUCUACGGACCCAAUCAUAAUUUCUGGCGUAUGUCUCCUAAAUUUUCACAUUUCUCGAUUGGCGCGGUCAUGCACCAGCUAUCUAUCUGACGGAACAUACUUUCAAGCAGCAUGCCACAACUAUUCUUAGUUUCUCAACUGGCUAUCCAUAGGAAAAUAAAAUCAAAGACAACGACAACCAAAUUCUUUUUAAAAUUAAGACAUAAGGUUUCCUUAAAAUGCCUAAAGCUUACGUGGAAGGCCUUUAGAACAAAAGAAGAAGGAUGCUUUCGUUUUUGAAUUAUUGCUUCUCAUUCGGGAGAUAUUCAGGUUUUAUUUAGAAACUGACGUCAGCAGUGGUUCCAUGGAAAGAUAAGUCACAAAAUAUAUAAUAUCUUCAGAAAUAUUAGAGCGGUGCUCUUCAAACAUAUAUCAAACAAGAUAUUUUGUACAUUGUGCAGUUUCCAUGGCAACAGUUUUGCUUCAAGAUAAAGUUUGUGCAGAACUGAUUUUGAAAAAUGUUGCUAUUUUAGUUUCGGAGGUACUUUUCAUUUUGUGAUCCAUGUUCUGAUGGAGACACUGAUGACGUCAUCAAUUUUUCUAAUUUGCAUAUCACAAAAACUUAAUAUAUUUAAAAAAAAAGAAGACAUUUCAGAAUGGAAAACGCCAUACUUCAUGAUUUUGAAAUGUCGUUUAAAUAAGCAUUAGUUAUUUUUUACUUCUCAGGCAAGUUCAGAACUGGACAAACUAGACGUGACUAGAUUCUAGGAGCUACGUGACAGGUUGUCUUUUGACAGGAUGCUGCUUGACAAGGCACAGGGCAGUUUUUGUGAAAAGUACAGAAUUUUCUACCGCCUUGUUCGUAGGAUGUUUCCAGCACCUUAGGAGCUGUAAAGGAUGAUCAGUUCAAUCGCCUUUUCGGCAAAGGGUUUAAAACCUUUCACCUCUAAAACUGUGCACCAGCUUAUGUUCCCACGUUUUCCUAUCGGUCGCUUUUGUGAAGUCAAUGUAGCUUCUUAAUUGCAGUUCUAUGGGAAGGUCGCUGUUUCCUACAUCAUCUAGCUUGAUUACAAUUACGCUAUUAUCUCCUCUUUCAGCAAGGCGAUGAAGAGCGAUGUUGAGUUCAUGAUUGCAAUAGUUGCUGCCUAAAAAGCUCUUGGAGACAACAGCUAUGGUCUUCCUACUGUUGUAGACACUCUGUGCCAUGUUUUCGACAAAUGGUACACCGGGUGGAACGUCUCUGUAAUGGAUGCAACAUUUAAUAUUAUGCUUCUUUUCCAAGGUUGACAACAAUUUGUUUUUCACCCAUUUCUCGUCCGUGGUGCUGUAUAUGAUAAAAGCAUCGAAUUUAAAACCU